AGAGCGAACGCUGGCGGCAGGCCUAACACAUGCAAGUCGAGCGCCCGUAGCAAUACGGGAGCGGCAGACGGGAUAGUAACACGUGGGAACGCGCCCUUCGGUUCGGAAUAACUCAGGGAAACUUGAGCUAAUACCGAAUACGCCCUUACGGGGAAAGAUUUAUUGCCGAAGGAACGGCCCGCGUCCGAUUAGCUAGUUGGUGAGGUAAUGGCUCACCAAGGCUACGAUCGGUAGCUGGUCUGAGAGGAUGACCAGCAUCACUGGGACUGAGACACGGCCCAGACUCCUACGGGAGGCAGCAGUGGGGAAUAUUGGACAAUGGGCGCAAGCCUGAUCCAGCCAUGCCGCGUGGAUGAUGAAGGCCUUAGGGUUGUAAAGUCCUUUUAACGGGGAAGAUAAUGACGGUACCCGCAGAAUAAGCCCCGGACUAACUUCGUGCCAGCAGCCGC
rnacentral:rRNA from 1 species